rnacentral:rRNA from 1 species
UACGUAGGUGGCAAGCGUUGUCCGGAAUUAUUGGGCGUAAAGAGCGUGUAGGCGGCCAGACAGGUCCGUUGUGAAAACUCGAGGCUCAACCUCGAGACGCCGAUGGAAACCGUCUGGCUAGAGUCCGGAAGAGGAGAGUGGAAUUCCUGGUGUAGCGGUGAAAUGCGCAGAUAUCAGGAAGAACACCCGUGGCUAAGGCGGCUCUCUAGUACGGUACUGACGCUGAGACGCGAAAGCGUGGGGAGCGAACAGG